rnacentral:lncRNA from 1 species
GAAUGAGUCUCUACAUUUCUGUGAAUGGGAAGGGAUUACAUGUGGUCGUCGUCACAUGAGAGUCUCUGCCUUGCAUUUGGAAAAUCAAACAUUUGGUGGCACUCUUGGAUCAUCCUUGGGAAAUCUAACAUUUCUUCGAAUGCUCAACCUUUCAAAUGUCAACUUGCAUGGUGAAAUUCCAACACAAGUUGGUCUUUUGAAACGAUUGCGAGUUCUUGACUUAGUAAACAACAAUCUUCAAGGAGAGAUUCCCAUAGAGCUCACUAACUGCACAAAUAUCAAGGUAAUUAGGUUGUCAGUUUUGACACAUGGCUGUCUCUAAGUGGAAAUAAUUUGUCAGGUGAAAUCCCUCAUUCUCUCUGCAACCUAUCAAAUAUUCAAAUUUUUGCUAUUGGAGUAAACAAUUUAUUUGGUGUUGUUUUUGGAUUUCCAAACUGUUGUAUUUGGAUUUCCAAGUUCUAUUAUCUACCGAAGUUGUUACUAGGUUGAGUCACGAUUAGGUCACUCUCUUUAAAACUUUUCGUGGCAUUGCCAAAAAUUGUGCAAGAAAGACUAUCAACCACGCCACCUCCAGGAUAAAACAAGCCCAACUGCAACUGUUGUGCGGUUAUCUACUGCACUGUAGAAAACCGUUCGAGAAUUUACACCUUCAAUAUGGUACUAAGACAACUCUUUUAAUAUUGAAACCAAUAUGGUACUAUGACCAAUCACUUCCAAUCCUUUUCCUCUCUCUCUCUCUCUCUCUCUCUCUCUCUCUCUCUCUCUCUAACUUGACUUGUGUGGACGAGUUUUUCCUCUUUUUAUCUCUUUUAUGUAUGUCAUGAUCGCUAUUUGCAUUAAUAUUUAUAGAAGAAAAAAACUUAGAUGAAUUUUUUUAUAUGCUUUUCAAAGAUCAUUAAACUUAAUUGCAUGGUUUUUCUUAUGAUUAUCAAAGAUCACUCAAUUGAACUAAUUUGAAAUUGAACCAAAAGUUUUAAGGUCCUAAUUUGAGUCUUCAAUUCGGUUCAAGCCAACAUUAUGUGGAUAAUACCGAAUACUUUGAUGCGUAUUAUCCACAUAAUGUUGNUUUCACAUAAAAUAAUUUAGAGAUUAUAUUUUAGAGAUUUUGUGAAAAAUCAGAAUCUAGUUUGUUUGGAUACAACUAUAUAAAAGAGAUUUUUUGUUACAAAAUUAAUUCAAUCUUUUAAAUCAUAUUUUCUCUAAAAAAAAAUUUAUUUUUUGAGAAGUUGCUCUUAACAACUUCUCAUUUGAAGCUGUUUUAGAUUCUGAUUUUUUAAAAAUGUAACAAACGGAUGCAAAACUCUUAAAAGUGAUUAUUUUUUAAAAAAAAAUGAUUUUUUUUUUCUUAAAAAAAACUGUAACAAACGGGUUCUAAAUAAGCUAUAGGGUUAAAUAUAUUUUAUUCAUGUUUAGUCCUAAAAAAAAUUAUUCAGUUUUAUUCCCUUUUAUAGGGACUAUUUUGGAUAACUAAAAGUAACUAUUAAAAAAAAAAAAAAAUCAAAAUAGGGACUAUUUGUACAAACUACAAUAUUAUCCAAGACUAAAAUUACCAUUAAAAUUUUAUAGAGACUAAAAUUAAAAACUUCUGAAUUUUUAGAUACUAAACAUCUUUAACCCUAAAUAUAUAUAUUAAGCAAAUGAGAAAAUUAAAUUUUGAAGCUUAAUCAAAAUUUUAAAUUAUACAUUUUGAAACGUGUUUAGUGGAAUGAGCCUUGACUAGCAAUUUCUGUAUCGACGGUCGAUAUGAUGUUCUCACUUGUCUCAUUGAAGUCUAUGAUUUUCCUAUAAUUAUUUCAAUUAACUCUUGCACAUACUUCUCUUUAUAUAUCUAAUCAAGUCUCAAAGCUACACACAUUCAAAGUUACACAUACAGUGUGCACUAAACGGUAUUCUUUACUUACCGUUUCCCAUAAUAAUACGAUAUUCUCCAAUAGCAAAAUGAAUUUUUUUAUGAUGUUUCUUCUCUGCUUUGCCAGCCAACUGUUGGCGUAUUUCAUGCCAAUGUCAACAAUUGCACUUUCUUUGAAUUCAAAGACUGAUAAGCUAGCUUUGCUUGCUUUGAAGGAAAAGCUUACAAAUGGUGUAUCAGAUUAUUUGCCAUCAUGGAAUGAGUCUCUACAUUUCUGUGAAUGGGAAGGGAUUACAUGUGGUCGUCGUCACAUGAGAGUCUCUGCCUUGCAUUUGGAAAAUCAAACAUUUGGUGGCACUCUUGGAUCAUCCUUGGGAAAUCUAACAUUUCUUCGAAUGCUCAACCUUUCAAAUGUCAACUUGCAUGGUGAAAUUCCAACACAAGUUGGUCUUUUGAAAGGAUUGCGAGUUCUUGACUUAGGAAACAACAAUCUUCAAGGAGAGAUUCCCAUAGAGCUCACUAACUGCACAAAUAUCAAGGUAAUUAGGUUAGC